rnacentral:rRNA from 1 species
AUUGAACGCUGGCGGCAGGCCUAAUACAUGCAAGUCGAGCGAGCGGCGAACGGGUGAGUAAUGUAUGGGGACUGCCCGAUAGAGGGGGAUAACCACUGGAAACGGUAGCUAAUACCGCAUACUAUCGGAUGACCCAUAUGGGUUUAUCUAGUAGGUGAGGUAAUGUCUCACCUAGGCGACGAUCCCUAGCUGGGCUGAGAGGAUGAUCAGCCACACUGGGACGGAGACACGGCCCAGACUCCUCCGGGGGCAGCAGUGGGAAAUAUUGCACAAUGGGCGCAAGCCUGAUGCAGCCAUGCCGCGUAUAUGAAGAGGGCCCUAGGGUUGUAAAGUACUUUCAGUCGGGAGGCGUUACCGACAGAAGAAGCACCGGCUAACUCCGUGCCAGCAGCCGCGGUAAUUC